rnacentral:rRNA from 1 species
AUAUCAAUAAGCGGAGGAAAAGAAACCAACAGGGAUUGCCCUAGUAACGGCGAGUGAAGCGGCAACAGCUCAAAUUUGAAAUCUGGCUUCGGCCCGAGUUGUAAUUUGCAGAGGAAGCUUUGGGCGCGGCACCGACCGAGUCCCCUGGAACGGGGCGCCAUAGAGGGUGAGAGCCCCGUAUGGUCGGACGCCUAGCCUGUGUAAAGCUCCUUCGACGAGUCGAGUAGUUUGGGAAUGCUGCUCAAAAUGGGAGGUAAAUUUCUUCUAAAGCUAAAUACCGGCCAGAGACCGAUAGCGCACAAGUAGAGUGAUCGAAAGAUGAAAAGCACUUUGAAAAGAGGGUUAAAUAGCACGUGAAAUUGUUGAAAGGGAAGCGCUUGUGACCAGACUUGCGCCCGGCUGAUCAUCCGGUGUUCUCACCGGUGCACUCUGCCGGGCUCAGGCCAGCAUCGGUUCUCGCGGGGGGAUAAAGGCCCAGGGAACGNNGCUCCUCCGGGAGUGUUAUAGCCCUGGGNGNNAUGCCNNCGCGGGGACCGAGGNUCGCGCAUCNGCAAGGAUGCUGGCGUAAUGGUCAUCAGCGA